rnacentral:tRNA from 1 species
GCUGGCGUGGCCGAGUGGUUAUAGUACCCGCACGUUUUUGAAACGUUUUUGCUCAUGGGCAUGGGUUCGAACCCCGUCGGCGGCA